rnacentral:lncRNA from 1 species
UGUGCCACUUUAAUAUCAAACCCAGAAUAUUUCAUGGGAAAGAUGGAAAUGGAGCUUCCAGUCGGGAAAAGUCGAGGUGAAGCAGGUCGGUGUUCUGCUGCUAUUUCCGUAAGGGUGGAAGCUGUGCUGCAUGAUACAGACAUCGUGUAUUUAUACUGCUAUUGAAACACCUUCCAAGCAAAAACUUUUCAGUGGUCCCAAGUCUUCCUAAUAUGUGGGAAAUUAUCGGAGGAAAUCAGAGGAAAUUUUGAAGUGCUAAUCUGGAACAUCAAUUUUAAAAAACAAGCGCCAACCAAUUAAGUUCAAAAUAUUUGGAUUUCCCCCACCCAGUGCUCCAGUUUUGAUGAGCUCUAUUGAUUUCCUCUUGCGUAAGUCACUUUCUCGUAAGCAUACCUCGGGAGAGAAAUAAAUCUGUUUGGAUACACUAGGAGGUCAGGCUGCGUUUAGAUGGCACCACUCACGCUUUGUCCAGACUGAGCAUUUGGAAGAGCAAUACAAUUUAUUACUGAAUGAGAGGAUGCAAAGAGCAUCUAGGUUUAACUGCUCCAUAUUUUUUUGUUUUAAAAUAUUCCUGGCAAGCUGUUCCUUUCGGUUCCCAAAGCGCUAUCAGAAGUUGGUGGAAUAAUGCUCUUCCAUGGGUCCAGAAGAAGCCAGGAAGGGGCUCCCCUGCAGAGGCAGUAGUCGAUGUUUUGGAUAAGGUGUCCUGCAGCACGGUUAUGUGACACUUCUCGUGCAGCCCCAGCUACGUGAGACUGCUUGGAGAACUGCACCAUCCUCCUUUCUGGCUUGGGCACCAACCCCUGCCAGCAGCACGCAGACAACUUGGUGAUGCUCAUAGGAAGCUCCUGGGGGCAGAAGAGCUGUCUGAAAGCUGGCCUGUACCCUGCCAUCCCUCCCUCUGUGCCAGCCCCAUCCCUGAAAACAGAGAUUUCUGUCCUUUAAGUGGAUGGGGGUGGGAGCCUUGCUCAGUGUGGCAGUGUUGGUGAUGCUUGGGGAUGCUGAUGGAUGCCCGUGGCACCAUGAUUGUGGGCCAGGGCCUCAAGGAAAGAAACGUGAAGGCAGUGAUCAGAGAAAGUGUGCAGAAUUCUCCUGCUCUUUUCUUUUUCAGUUUAAUUGACAUUCCUGACCUUUUCUCAGGGCAGUUUCCACUGAGAAGCAGCACCAAAUAUCCCUCUCUUCACCUCCCUGUGACACACCUUGGCUGUCUCCAGGGAGCCUGUCCUCUCCCCAGCACCCUGCAGCAUCUGGGGAACAGACGUGGCAGCAGCUCAAGCUCCAAAAUCUUGAAGAGAAAUGAGAAGAUGGAGCUAGGAUUUCAUCUCAGAAAGGAAAGGUGUGAUCCUACAGGUCUCCCUGCAGGGCUCAGCAGGUGGGAAGGCAGCACAGUCUCUCUGUAGCGAGCAGAGCUGUGGUUUAUCCUCUUUCCCUGCAGAGGGAGGUGCUGGUCCCCCUCCCUCUCCUUCCAGCCCGUCCUCCUCAGUAGCACACUGUAACCCAUGACCCCUCGCAUAAAAGAGGGGAAUACUAAUUGCUUGGAAACACUCCACAGAAAGUGGACGUUAAGUGGACUAGUGCCGACCAGCAAUGGAAAUUACAGCACGGACACCACCAGAAUCCAUCACAACUAAUGCGAUUAGAGCGGAUGGCACAGGAAUUCAUAAUGAUCUGCUCUGUGCCCUGAAGUUGUGUCAGUGUAUCCGAGCUGGGCUUUGCUCUUCUCCUGCCCUCUACUUGCACACUUUGAAGAGUACAGACAAGGGAGGCCCCCCCAGGAGACUUUCAUCCCACCCUGUACCUCUCUCAUAGCACCCUUGUUCCUAAUUGUAUGCAGAGACAACAGCAAUGGCAAUGACUUCAUAACAAGCCCUCCUAAUGAAUAAAUCAUCC